ensembl:lncRNA
CCCCCUUUGCCCCCUUUUCCUGCUUUUUCCCGGAUUUUUCCUCCCUUUUUCCCCUUUUCCCCUUUUUUCCACCUCCUUUUCCCUCAAUUUUAAGAUUUCUUUGAUUUUCUUUGGGUUUUUUUAUAUUUUUCCUCCUUUUUUCUCCAUUUUUUCUCCUUUUAAAAUUUUUUUUUCCUUUAUUCUCUCCUCUUUUUUUUCUCCUAUUUUCCCCUUUUUUUCUCUUUUUUUUCUCCUUUUUUCUCCUUUUUUCUUUCUCCUUUUUUUCUCCAUUUUAGAUUCUUUUUAUUCUCUUCCCCCCCUUUUAUCCCCUUUUUCCUCCUUUUUUUUCCCCUUUUUUCUCCUUUUUUCCCCCUUUUUUUCUCCAUUUUUUUGUCCUUUUUAAAUUUUUUUUCUCCUUUUUAAAUUUUUUUUCUCCUUUUUUCUUCUUUUUAAAUUCUUUUUUUCUCCUUUUUUUCUCCUUUUUCCCCUCUUUUUUUCCUCCUUUUCAUUUCUCCCUUUCCCCCCUUUUUCCAUUUCCCUCCUUUUUCAAUUUUUUUCUUUCCUCCUUUCCCCCUUUUUCUUCUUCCCUCUUUCAUUUUUCCCACUUCAUUUUUUGCCCAUUUUUUACUUUUUUCCUCCUUUUUUCUUUUCCAAUCCCCCCUUUUCUCCCCACCUUUAAUUCUCCUUUUUUUUCAUUACUUUUCCCCCCUUUUUUCCCCUUCUUAAAUUUACUUCUUGAACUUUUUUCUUCUCCGUUUUCUCCUUUUUUCUUUUUAUUUUUUCUCCUUUUUUCUUUUUAUUUUUUCUCCUUUUUUGUUUUUCUCCUUUUUUUAUUUUUCUCCUUUUUUAUUUUUCUCCUUUUUUUUCCCCUUCUUUCUUUUUAUUUUUCUCCUUUUUUCUUUUUCUCCUUUUUUUAUUUUUUCUCCUCUUUUCUUUUUUUUCUUCGUUUUUAUUUUUUCUCCUUUUUUUCUUUUUAUUUUUCUCCUUUUUUAUUUUUCUCCUUUUUUUAUUUUUUCUCCUUUUUUCUUUUUAUUUUUUUUCUCCUUUUCUCUUUUUAUUUUUCUCCUUUUUUAUUUUUUCCUUUUUUUAUUUUUCCCUUUCUUUUUAUUUUUCCCUUUUUUCUUUCUAUUUUCCUCCGUUUUUCUUUUUAUUUUCCUCCUUUUUCCUUUCAUUCUUCUCAUUUUUAUUUUUUCUUUUUCUUCUUAUUUUUCUCCUUUUUUCUUUUUAUUUUUCUUUUUAUUUUUUCUCCUUUAAUUCUUCUUAUUUUCCUCCUUUUUUCAUUUUAUCUUUUUCCUUUUUUCUUUCUAUUUUCCUCCUUUUCCUUUUCAUUUCUCCUCCUUUUUUCCCAUUUCCUUUUCAAUUCCCUCCUUUCCCUUUUAUUCCCUUUUUCCAACCCCUUCCUCUUUAACCCUUUCCCAUUUUCCCCCUUUUUUUCCUUCCCUCCCCCUUCCCUCCCCUCCCCCUUUCCCAUUUUCUCCCUUUUCCCCCAAAAACGCCGCCAGGGUCUGAUUUUUUAUUUCAUUUCAUUUUAUUUCAUUUUAUUUUAUUUUAUUUUAUAUUUUAUUUUAUGCUCUUUAACUCCCCUCCUCCCCCCCCAACACUCCCUCGCCUUCAUUUAUUUUCGUUUUCCAAUCAAAUCCAGUGGUUUCCCCGCCCAAACCCCGGGAAUUCCCGGGCCGUCGGAGCCCGGCCUUUUAUUGUUAUUAAUAAUUAUUAUUAUUAUUUGGGUGCCAAUCGCCCCCCCCGGAGCGCGGGGAGGAUUUUCCCCACGCUUUUUGGUUUUUUUUGCCCUUCGUGGAAGAAAAGAAAAAAAAAAAACGGC